CCAAAAUGCUGAGAUUACAGGUAUGAGCCACCACACACAGCCUGCCUAUGUUUUCUUUAAAGUAGCCAAUUCACAACUCCCAUGAGAAAGCCUAAGGAAUAGUGCCCAUGGACCUUAAUAAGGGCAUAGUCCCACAGGUCUUCUUUCUCUCUCACUUUCCACCUGAUGGAUGAGAUCGCUACUGCCUCCAGAUUUCCUGAUGACCUCCUAUCAACACCCCAAUCUCUCUGGUACCUCCGUGUGAAGAUGUACCUGCUUCCCCUUCCAUCGUGAUUGAAAGUUUCCUGAGGCCUCCUCAGCUAUGCUUCCUAUACAACCUGCAGAACAGUCGGCUGCCUCCAAUCCUGAGGUCAUCACUCAUCAAGAGGGGAUAAUCCCAGGGACAGCAGGAUCUGCUUCGUUACUUGGAUUUAGGAGCCAGAAACCCAUCAGGCAACUAAAUAGUAACAAUGACCCACCAUUAAACACACUGAGAGAAGAGCACGAUGAGGAGUUUGUACAAGAAGAAGCCAGGAGCACUUGCUGACAAUGCCUACAGAGACGCAGGCUUCUGUGAGCGCUGCCUGUUGAACUGCAGUAAAAAUAGAUCCCCUUCCCCAGAGAUGCUUGGAUGUGGGCACGAUAUCAGUUCAGACAACGGUCAAUGCAUGGACUUAAUAGAGUGAAAAGACUUUGGACUGUGAAGUCAGAGAACCUGGGUCUGAACUAUUAUUCUUCUACAUCUUUGUAGUAUGCUUUCACCACAUUGAAAAUUGUCUGAGCCUCAAUUCUUUUAUCUGCAAAAUGGAGCUAAUACCUACACAGGGGCUUUUAAGAGAAUAAAAUGCAACAGUGUUUGAAAAAGCAAUAUACUUCCCUUUAUGGAAAAAGAGCCUGUAAAGGAACCAAUACAAUGGCCGGGUGUGGUGACGCACAUCUGUAAUCCCAGCACUUUGAGAGGCCGAGGCGGGUGGAUUGCCUGAGCUCAGGAGUUUGAGACCAGCCUGGGCAACAUGGUGAAACCCCGACUCUACUAAAAUACA